CCACCGGGACCAUCGUCUUGGUCAUCUCCUGCUUCUGGGAACCUGCUAACAUCAUUUUUGUGGUUAGCUCAUUUUUGCCAACCAACCAUGAGCUCCCAGAUUCGUCAGAAUUAUUUCACAGACAUGGAGGCAGCCGUCAACCACCUGGUCAGUGUGUACCUGCAGGCCUCCUACACGUACCUCUCUCUGGGCUACUAUUUUGGCCACGAUGAUGUGGCUCUGGAAGGCGUGAACCAUUUCUUCCGUGAAUUGGCCAAGGAGAAGCACGAGGGCUACGAGCGUUUCCUGAAGAUGCAAAACCAGCGUGGUGGCCGCGCUCUCUUUCAGGACAUCAAGAAGCCGCGCUCUCUUUCAGGACAUCAAGAAGCCGGCUCAAGAUGAAUGGGGUAAAAUCCUGGACGCCAUGAAGCCGCCAUGGCCCUGGAGAAAAGUCUGAACCAGGCCCUUUUGGAUCUUCAUGCCCUGGGUUCUGCCCUCACGGACCCCCAUCUCUGUGACUUCCUGGAGAGCCACUUCCUAGAUGAGGAAGUGAAAAUCAUCAAGAAAAAUGGGUGACCACCUGACCAACCUCCACAGGCUGGCCGGCCCAGAGGCUGGGCUGAGCGAGUAUCUCUUUGAAAGGCUCACUCUCAAGCACAACUAAGAGCCUGCUGAGCCCAGCAACUUACGAAGGGCCUUUACAAAAUAACAGGCCUUCUGCCUAAGCCUCUCCCUCCAGUUACCAGGCAGCUUUCUAACUACCCUAACAAGCCUUGGACCAAAUGGAAAUAAAGCUAUUUGAAGCAAAAAAAAAAAAAAAAAA